rnacentral:rRNA from 1 species
CCUACGGGAGGCAGCAGUGAGGAAUAUUGGUCAAUGGGCUUACGCCUGAACCAGCCAAGUCGCGUGAGGGAAGACUGUCCUAUGGGUUGUAAACCUCUUUAGUCAGGGAGCAAUUGCGGCCACGUGUACCGGUAUCGAGAGUACCUGCAGAAAAAGCAUCGGCUAACUCCGUGCCAGCAGCCGCGGUAAUACGGAGGAUGCGAGCGUUAUCCGGAUUUAUUGGGUUUAAAGGGUGCGUAGGCGGAAUGCCAAGUCAGCGGUAAAAUCGCUGGGCUCAACCCCGCUCGGCCGUUGAAACUGGCGUUCUUGAGUGGGCGAGAAGUAUGCGGAAUGCGUGGUGUAGCGGUGAAAUGCAUAGAUAUCACGCAGAACUCCGAUUGCGAAGGCAGCAUACCGGCGCCCGACUGACGCUGAGGCACGAAAGCGUGGGGAUCGAACAGGAUUAGAUACCCUUGUAGUC